UAGGGAAUCUUCGGCAAUGGGGGGAACCUUGACCGAGCAACGCCGCGUGAGUGAAGAAGGCUUUCGGAUCGUAAAGCUCUGUUGUUAAGGAAGAACGAGUGUGAGAAUGGAAAGUUCAUGCUGUGACGGUACUUAACCAGAAAGGGACGGCUAACUACGUGCCAGCAGCCGCGGUAAUACGUAGGUCCCGAGCGUUGUCCGGUUUUAUUGGGCGUAAAGCGAGCGCAGGCGGUUAGAAAAGUCUGAAGUGAAAGGCAGUGGCUCAACCAUUGUAGGCUUUGGAAACCGUUAAACUUGAGUGCAGGAGGAGAGAGUGGAAUUCCAGGUGUAGCGGUGAAAUGCGUAGGUAUAUGGAGGCACACCGGGGGCGAAAGCGGCACGCUGGUCUGUAACUGACGCUGAGGCUCGAAAGCAUGGGGAGCCAACAGG
rnacentral:rRNA from 1 species